rnacentral:rRNA from 1 species
ACGAACGCUGGCGGCGUGCCUAAUACAUGCAAGUCGAGCGGAAUGAUGAAGAAGCUUGCUUCUUCUGAUCUUAGCGGCGGACGGGUGAGUAACACGUGGGCAACCUACCUUGUAGAUUGGGAUAACUCCGGGAAACCGGGGCUAAUACCGAAUAAUCCAUUUUGCUUCAUGGCGAGAUGUUGAAAGACGGUUUCGGCUGUCACUACAAGAUGGGCCCGCGGCGCAUUAGCUAGUUGGUAGGGUAAUGGCCUACCAAGGCGACGAUGCGUAGCCGACCUGAGAGGGUGAUCGGCCACACUGGGACUGAGACACGGCCCAGACUCCUACGGGAGGCAGCAGUAGGGAAUCUUCCACAAUGGACGAAAGUCUGAUGGAGCAACGCCGCGUGAGUGAAGAAGGUUUUCGGAUCGUAAAACUCUGUUGUAAGGGAAGAACACGUACGAGAGUAACUGCUCGUACCUUGACGGUACCUUAUUAGAAAGCCACGGCUAACUACGUG